UUGAAAACAGUGGUUAACUGCAAGCAAUAYGUUAUGAAGAUGAUGGUGCUCAGACAAAUACCCAAACAAUUUGAUUCUGAUAAAUUGGAUGCGAGAUUUUGACCAGCAUGAGAAGAACAGGCUCUGUGGAAGCAGGAAAGGARGAGCUCAGCAGGAGGACAACAAAUAGGGGGAAAUAUUCCCAAUGUCGUGUGGCUGCUGGUGGCUCAGGCAGUUUGAGCAGAGGUUUGUGGUGGUCCAGCUCGCUGGAAACUUUUGUGCUGAAACCAGGAGGAUGCUACAGCUGGAGCUGAUCUACCAGUUCCUUGUUUGGAUUACUUUUUCCUUAGGAUGUCAUCGUUCUGGAAGCCCUGGGAAAAGCCAGAUUUCAAAUCUGUGCCUGCGCCGGUUUUGACACCGUGCAAUGAAGCAUCCGAGCUCUCAGAUGUCUGGCUCUUCCGAGUUGUGAAAUGAGAAAACAAACAAACCCAACCAUUCCAGCCCUGUCAAUCUCCUUCUCAGUGGACAGAUGCCCUGGUGCCAAAAAAGCUUCAUCCCGUGAUCCCACACCUCUUGGCAGUGCCAAAAAUGAGCCGGAGAUCUACUGGACGCAAAAGCACSGCGGUUCCUCACCUCGAAAAAUGGUGUUUGUGGCCACGCUGGAGCUCCUGGGCUAAGAAUUUGCCAAGGGCAUCAACAGCAGUUUUCCCAGGCUCCAGCACAAGGAUUAUGUAGUCAAUCCACAAAUGAGUCAAAUCUUUGAAGAAAAGGACAUGGUUAUCAGAGAGGCUUUGACGACAGCAAGGACGGGAGCGCUAUCUGCCUUUCUCCAUCAGAGAUUCCCAUUCCCUCUCAUUAACAUACUCAGGACAUCAGCACAGCCAUCMCCCCCAGGGAAUCGCUUCCAACUUUUGAGGGAAUAUGCACAAGACCUCGCCCCUGCGUUGUUUCAAACAGAUCAAACCCCAUCUGCCUCGUGUGAGGGUUCUUCAAUCCCACCGAGGAUGUGAUGCCUGUGAAAAGCUGCUGCUGCUGCUG